rnacentral:rRNA from 1 species
AACGAACGCUGGCGGCAUGCCUAACACAUGCAAGUCGAACGAGACCUUCGGGUCUAGUGGCGCACGGGUGCGUAACGCGUGGGAACCUGCCCUUAGGUUCGGAAUAACUCCCCGAAAGGGGUGCUAAUACCGGAUAAUGUCUUCGGACCAAAGAUUUAUCGCCUUUGGAUGGGCCCGCGUUGGAUUAGCUAGUUGGUAGGGUAAAAGCCUACCAAGGCGACGAUCCAUAGCUGGUCUGAGAGGAUGAUCAGCCACACUGGGACUGAGACACGGCCCAGACUCCAACGGGAGGCGGCAGUGGGGAAUAUUGGACAAUGGGCGAAAGCCUGAUCCAGCAAGGCCGCGUGGGUGAUGAGGGCCUUAGGGUUGUAAAGCUCUUUACCCGGGAUGAUAAUGACAGUACCGGGAGAAUAAGCUCCGGCUAACUCCGUG